rnacentral:tRNA from 1 species
GGAUGCGUGCCCGAGUGGUCUAAGGGCGCUGAUUCGAAAUCAGAUGGAUGGCGCAAGCCGUCACGAGCGUUCGACUCGCUCCGCAUCCGCCA